CACUCUUAGCAGUGAAUCACUCGGCUCAUUGGUCGAUGAAGGACUGAGCAAACUGUGAAUCAUCGUGUGAUUAUAUGCAGGAUAUAUGUCCUAGACAAACAGUCUCUGCUGUGAUGGUACUUUAAUUAAUUUUGGAUUGCUGGAUAUUUAUAUAUAAUUUUCU
rnacentral:rRNA from 1 species